rnacentral:rRNA from 1 species
UACGGGGGGGGCAAGCGUUGUUCGGAAUUACUGGGCGUAAAGGGCUCGUAGGUGGCCAACUAAGUCAGACGUGAAAUCCCUCGGCUUAACCGGGGAACUGCGCCUGAUACUGGAUGGCUUGAGUUUGGGAGAGGGACGCGGAAUUCCAGGUGUAGCGGUGAAAUGCGUAGAUAUCUGGAGGAACACCGGUGGCGAAGGCGGCGUCCUGGACCAAUACUGACACUGAUGAGCGAAAGCCAGGGGAGCAAACGGG